CCUACGGGUGACAGCAGUGAGGAAUCUUGGUCAAUGGCCGAGAGUCUGAACCAGCCAAGUAGCGUGAAGGAUGACUGCCCUCUGGGUUGUAAACUUCUUUUAUAAAGGAAUAAAACGCGGCACGUAUGCCUUUUUGCAUGUACUUUAUGAAUCCAGAUAGGCUAACUCCGUGCCAGCCGCCGCGGUAAUACGGAGGAUCCGAGCGUUAUCCGGAUUUAUUUGGUUUAAAGGGAGCGUAGAUGGGUUGUUAAGUCAGUUGUGAAAGUGUGCGGCUCAACCGUAAAAUUGCAAUUGAUACUGGCAGUCUUGAGUACAGUUGAGGUAGGAGGAAUUCGUGGUGUAGCGGUGAAAUGCUUAGAUAUCACGAAGAACACCGAUUGCGAAGGCAGCUUACUAAACUGUGACUGACAUUGAUGCUCGAAAGUGUGGGUAUCAAACAGGAUUAGAUACCCCAGUAGUC
rnacentral:rRNA from 1 species